GGAGAAUUGGUUGGGGCUGCUCCUAGUACGAGAGGACCGGAGUGGACGCACCACUGGUGUUCCGGUUGUGUCGCCAGACGCAUUGCCGGGUAGCUAAGUGCGGAAGAGAUAAGUGCUGAAAGCAUCUAAGCACGAAACUUGCCAAGAGAUGAGUUCUCCCAGGUUAUAAACCUGUAAGGGUUGUUUAAGACUAAGACGUAGAUAGGCAUGGUGUGUAAGCGGUGCGAGCCGUUGAGCUAACAUGUACUAAUUGCCCGAGAGGCUUAACUAUACAACGCUCAAGGGUUUUG
rnacentral:rRNA from 1 species